AGAAACUGACUGUGAACAAGUGUAGCAAGCUUUCAUUCUGAUAACAUGCUGCAGUCCACCAGCUCCAAAUGAAUGUCCACAUGGUAAUAUCAUUGCAUCAUCCAUUAGAGCUCCCGUGACUGAGUCCGAUAGAAUGGCGCUCAAGGAGUCUCCAGAUUCGCAUGAAAACGACGAACCUUCCUUUCUUCCACUAAAACCACAACCAUCACCUCCCAUAUCCUUUCCCGCACUACCAGACCCCUCUGUUCCCUGCAAAUACUGAGUGUAAUACAUAUGCCCAUCAGAUUCUGCUAUUGUCACUGUAUUAUUCCCCGUUUGGCCUACACUCCCACCUCCAUCUUUUACAGCAAUAAUUUCUCCGGUAGCCCCAACAAAAGAAGGAUGGUGCUUGGGCUUUCCAUUUCCAUUCCCCAUUUUAUCUACAUUACCAGUAUUGCU
rnacentral:misc_RNA from 1 species